GCUGGGCGCAGUGGCUCAUGCUUGUAAUCCCAGCAGCUCCGGAGGCUGAGGCAGGAGGAUCAAGAGUUCAAAGCCAGCCUCAGCAAUGGCAAGGCACUAAGCAACUCAGUGAGACCCUGUCUCUA
rnacentral:sRNA from 1 species